AUGCUUGCUUUGGCAGCACAUAUACUAAAAUUGAAAUGAUACAGAGAUUAGCACGGCCCCUGCUCAAGGAGAUGACGUGAAAAUUCGUGAAGCGUUCCAUAUUUUU
rnacentral:snRNA from 1 species